GACGAACGCUGGCGGCGUGCUUAACACAUGCAAGUCGAGCGGUAAGGCCCUUUCGGGGGUACACGAGCGGCGAACGGGUGAGUAACACGUGGGUGACCUGCCCUUAGCUCUGGGAUAAGCCUGGGAAACUGGGUCUAAUACCGGAUAUGACUCCAUAACGCAUGUUGUGGGGUGGAAAGCCUUGUGCGGCUAGGGAUGGGCCCGCGGCCUAUCAGCUUGUUGGUGGGGUGAUGGCCUACCAAGGCGACGACGGGUAGCCGGCCUGAGAGGGCGACCGGCCACACUGGGACUGAGACACGGCCCAGACUCCUACGGGAGGCAGCGGUGGGGAAUCUUGCGCAAUGGGCGAAAGCCUGACGCAGCGACGCCGCGUGGGGA
rnacentral:rRNA from 1 species